rnacentral:rRNA from 1 species
AGGUCACUGCUAUCGGUGUUCGAUUAAGCCAUGCGAGUCGAGAGGGGUCAUGCCCUCGGCGGACUGCUCAGUAACACGUGGACAACCUACCCAAAAGUCUGGGAUAACCCCGGGAAACUGGGGAUAAUACCGGAUAGAUCAAAGAUACUGGAAUUUGUUCUUUGAUUUAAAGCUCCGGCGCUUUUGGAUGGGUCUGCGGCUGAUUAGGUAGAUGCCGGUGUAACGUACCGGCAUGCCGAUAAUCAGUACGGGUUGUGGGAGCAAGAGCCCGGAGAUGGAUUCUGAGACACGAAUCCAGGCCCUACGGGGCGCAGCAGGCACGAAAACUUUACAAUGCAGGCAACUGCGAUAAGGGAACAUCGAGUGAUACUCAUAAUGGGUGUCUGUCCUCCCGUCUAAAAAACGGGAGUUAGCAAGGGCCGGGCAAGACCGGUGCCAGCCGCCGCGGUAAUACCGGCGGCUCGAGUGGUGGCCGAUAUUAUUGAGUCUAAAGGGUCCGUAGCCGGCUUUGCAAGUCUUGUGGGAAAUCCAGCGGCUUAACCGUUGGGCGUCCGCGAGAUACUACAUUGCUUGGGACUGGGAGAGGUAAGAGGUACUCAGGGGGUAGGAGUGAAAUCCUGUAAUCCUUUGGGGACCACCGGUGGCGAAGGCGUCUUACCAGAACAGGUCCGACGGUGAGGGACGAAAGCUAGGGGCACGAACCGGAUUAGAUACCCGGGUAGUCCUAGCCGUAAACGAUGCUCGCUAGGUGUCACAGCAGUCGUGAACUGCUGUGGUGCCGUAGGGAAGCCGUGAAGCGAGCCACUUGGGAAGUACGACCGCAAGGGUGAA